AAAAGUUUAAACUAGACUUUGCCGUAGCUAGAAAGCAGUUCGUUGUAUACAAAUACGUUUCGUUGGAUUACUUGUAACUCCCCCGUCGUGUCGUACGCAAUAGCAAUCUACUUUUCCACGCUAUCCGCGCCGUAAUCGGCUGUAAAAAUUUUUCAUUAGGAUAUUAAAAUGUCUAACACAGUUACUGGUACAGUAAAAUGGUUCAACGAAACUAAAGGCUUCGGCUUCAUUCAACAAGAAAACGGCCCAGACGUUUUCGCUCACUUCAGCGCAAUCAAAGGUGAUGGUUUCCGUACUCUUGCUGAAGGUCAAAAAGUUGAGUUUGAAGUAUCUCAAGGUCAAAAAGGCCCUCAAGCUGACAACAUCCGCCUAGUAUAAUUUCUUACUAAGUAUUCUAAUAGCCAGCAUCUUGCUGGCUAUUUUCG
rnacentral:sRNA from 1 species